UACAGGGGGUGCAAACGUUGCUCGGAAUCAUUGGGCGUAAAGCGCACGUAGGCGGUUCGUUAUGUCGGAUGUGAAAGCCCUUGGCUUAACCGAGGAAGUGCAUCCGAAACUGGCGAGCUAGAGUACGAAAGAGGAUCGCGGAAUUCCGGUGUAGAGGUGAAAUUCGUAGAUAUCGGGAGGAACACCGGUGGCGAAGGCGGUUCUCUGGGCCUUACCUGACACUGAGGAGCGAAAGCGUGGGGAGCGAACAGG
rnacentral:rRNA from 1 species